GAUGAACGCUGGCGGCGUGCCUAAUACAUGCAAGUCGAGCGAACAGACGAGGAGCUUGCUCCUCUGACGUUAGCGGCGGACGGGAGAGUAACACGUGGAUAACCUACCUAUAAGACUGGGAUAACUUCGGGAAACCGGAGCUAAUACCGGAUAAUAUAUUGAACCGCAUGGUUCAAUAGUGAAAGACGGUUUUGCUGUCACUAAUAGAUGGAUCCGCGCCGCAUUAGCUAGUUGGUAAGGUAACGGCUUACCAAGGCAACGAUGCGUAGCCGACCUGAGAGGGUGAUCCGCCACACUGGAACUGAGACACGGUCCAGACUCCUACGGGAGGCAGCAGUAGGGAAUCUUCCGCAAUGGGCGAAAGCCUGACGGAGCAACGCCGCGUGAGUGAUGAAGGUCUUCGGAUCGUAAAGCUCUGUUAUUAGGGAAGAACAAAUGUGUAAGUAACUAUGCACGUCUUGACGGUACCUAAUCAGAAAGCCCCGGCUAACUACGUG
rnacentral:rRNA from 1 species